CCGGUGACAGGACAGUGGGCUCUGACCCCAGCUCUGCACCCGGUAACAGGACAGUGGGCUCUGACCCCAGCUCUGCACCCGGUGACAGGACAGUGGGCUCUGACCCCAGCUCUGCACCCGGUGACAGGACAGUGGGCUCUGACCCCAGCUCUGCACCCGGUGACAGGACAGUGGGCUCUGACCCCAGCUCUGCAACUGGACCAAGCUAUGUGACCUUGGACUGGUCAUCAGGCAGCAAAACAUAAUGGAAGAAACAGGACUUUUAGAGGCAGAGGUGUUCACUCCCACCAGGAUGAAUAAAAGCAAAGAGUCUUAGCACAUGGAAUCUGUGCUUGGCUAUGGGACCAGCCAUGACAGUGAAUAUAAUCUUCUUUCUUUGCAGAGCAAGCAUAUACAUCCUUCCUGAUGUAUGUAGCAGGUGGCUGUUUGGUCCUAAGACUUUUGGUGAAUUGCCAGGGAUUUUAUAGACAGUAGAACUUUUCGGGAGAGCUACACUAAGUAACAACUGGCUCCAGAGAGAUGAGUCUGCACUUAGCUGAAGUCCAUGGCCUGGGUUCAAUUCUACUUGGAGAAUAACAUUAAUUUUUUUUUAAUUUUUAAGUUAUGUGUAUAUGUCUAUGUCUGAGUAUGGGUUUGUACACAUGAGAAUAGAUGACGUCUGCAGAGGCCAGAACAGGACAUUGAAUCACCUGGGACUGGAGUCACAGGCAACUGUGAAACACCUGAUGUGAGUGCUAGGACUCCAACUCGGGUCCUCUGUAAGGACUUAACCACCAACUGCCUCUCCAGUCCUCCUAGGUGGCCACUGUGGUGGAUGCUAAUUGACUACCAAGUGCUCUGUUUCCAUAGUUAGAAGUACUGUGGGAAACAAACUAGCCAGACACCAAAAUACUCCAAGUUCUCUCCAGCUAGGUACAAAAGACUUGAUCUGGCUAAAAACAUAAAAGAAGGCCUGGGGGCUGUGUCAUUUCUCAGCUGGAGAUGAAUCUCAGCUGUGCCUUCCUCUCCAGCAACUUUGGAAACCACAUGAUACCUAUGAGGACACUGUGGUGACAUAGAAGGAAUCUGGACCCUGAGCCACUGCUGGAAGAGAACAGCUCAGGAUGUUAUUUUAAAUCUUUCACGUACAAGAAAUACAGUUUUGUGUCAACCCUAUCAAACUGUGUGGUGCUGUCACAACAAUGUAUCUAAAAACCUUGGAUGGACCUUAAAGCACAAGUUCUGCUAUUGGAAGGUCAUCCCUGGGAAUCGAGUCCAUUGAUCAAUCUUUAUGGGACACUAGACCUUCAUUUUAGCUUUCCUGAUACAAUGUUGCGGCGGCAGAGUCUUGUGAGGUUCCCGUGCUAAACAAGUUGGGCUGAGUACUUUGCUGUGUAACUUCAGAACAGAGCUUGCUUUCGGUUUCUAUUGAGAGUUUAACGUCUGCUCAGGGUAGGGAUUUGUUCUGCUGGGGAAGUGUGGGCCCCAGACCAUGGUUGUCCUGCCCAUUGUAGAUGAUGGACAACUCUUUGGACACUUUAAAUCGGUAAAAGAGCCUAAGUUUAAAAACUGAAAUGAGGGACUGGAGAGAUGGCUCAUCAGAUGAGAAUGCUUACUGUUCUUCCCAAAAACCCAGAGCUUGGGUUCCAGCGUCUCCAGUGGCCAACAACUGCCUGUAACACCAGCUCCAGGAUGCCCUCAACUCUGUGGAUACACAUACAUACAUACAUACAUACAUACAUACAUACAUACAUACACACAUACAUACAUACACACACACACCAAGAACCCAGAAAAGAUCUGUGACCAUUUCCUUUUUUAAAAAUGGUUGCCUAGCCUUGAUAUUUCACAUCUAUCUUUUCAGUAUUUCGUGAAAGAACCACUAACAUCCCAUUACACCAGGAAGCAAAUGCAUUAAGGAGAAUAUAAUUUCACACAGUAAUAAACUCCAUGAAGAAAUGGGAACAAGGUGAUGUGAUGGAGGGCGGCCUGGGGGAAGAAGAGCAAAUCUAUAACAUGUCAGUGAAGUCAUCUAUCUCCCAUCCCGCACCUGGGCAGGGAGCUGUUUCCACAGGAACAGAGAGGAUGAAGCAUUCUGGGGAGCUGGAAAGGGAAGAACAGAAUUCUGGGUAAAAACAGCUUAGGAUGAACUGGACUGAAUCAGCGCUAAGAGGCUGUUGAGAGGUGGCCUUGCAGUGAUCAAUCAAUCAGGUGGGGCUGGGGGCGUGGCUACAGUUUGGUCUGUUAUCCUAUUUGCAAGGCAAGUCUCUUGUGGGAAUGAAGCCCGGACUUACCAGAUAUGAUUUAUAUAUUAUUUCUUUCCUCUUUUAUGUAUCAGACAGGUAAUGUCCUGACAUUUUAACACAGUUUGGGAGAAGCCUAUCCCUCACAGUGACAUGAGAACUCACAUUUAUGAAUCACAAAAAGUAUCUCAGUUUAUAUUUCAAAGGGAACAAUGACAUGAAAGCAUGGGAAGAGAGAUGUCACAGAAUAAAGGACGCCGAGGGACAGAACCGAGCACGACGGCCCAUCUCAUUACAUCCUUAUAAAACCUCUUUAGAACAAACUCAGGAAAUCCGAAUAGAGAAAAAAAGAAGGCCCCACACAGACACGAGCAGUCACCGUAUGAUGAAGAAGUAUCUAUAUGGACGCAGACAACUUUUAAAUUCUGCCUCCCUGGUUUUGCAACUUUGCUGGAUGCUGGGGGUACAGCCAAGGUUAAACUUAACAUUUGCCUCACAAACUGAAGACAAAAAGUUGCAGAAUCUCACAGAAUAAAAGAGGAAUGGACCUAA